CCCCGCGUCCCUCCCUUUCCCCCUCACCCCAAGCCCUACCGCCGCUACGAGGAGAAAACCCUAUCUCCUCAUCACCAUUGCUUAAAACGACAAAAUGGCAGGAAAAAAUCAUAUGACUUAGAGCAAGAAGGGUCUGAGAUGGGGAGAAAUUCAUAAACAAGAUGUAUAUUUCAAGAAACAGAGUUCAACAUAAGAUAACUUGGCCAAGAUGAAUCUAUUUGAGGAAGGUGAGAAACAGAAGAUGCUUUGCAGUAAAAAUUGGACUUAUGCUAGGCCAGUGAGUCCGGGAAUCGAGGGAAGAAAGAAACAAGCACGAGCAAGAAGACUUUCUUUCGGACCGGAGGUAUUGCACGAGCAGUGGCUGAUCCGAAGAAAGCGAAAGAAAUCGUUUGGUCUGGUUUCUCCAUAGACGGGUAGAUCGUGGCCGUUGGUCCGGUAGAUCGUGGUCGUUGGUCCGGUAGAUCGUGGCCGUUGGUCCGGGUAAUCCAUUACAUAAAUGUCACGCGUCAGGACCGUUCUGCCAUAUUGUACUGUCAAUCGUACGGAUGUCAGACCGUACGAUUCAACCUUAUCCUUUUAGGGUUUUCUUUAUUCAAAAGGGCUUGAUGUUGUAUAAGGCCCAUAAGGAGAAACUAUAAAUAGAGGACAUUCCCUACUUUUGGGGGUGGGCUUCUUCAGAUCUAGAACAUUGUAAUAGCAAAAUAUAUAUAAUUUCUCCCUCUUUCCCUGAUUUUGGUCCGGAUUUAAUGUGUUCCUCUUUAGCGCUAUUUAAUCAAACAAUA